CAAUAGCGUAUAUUAAAGUUGUUGCAGUUAAAAAGCUCGUAGUUGGAUUUCUGGUGGGAGCGAUCGGUCUGGCGCUUAGCGCGAGUACUUGCAUCGUCUCCGGCCAUCCUUGGGGAGUGUCUGUCUGGCAUUAGGUUGUCGGGCAGAGGAUCCUCAUCGUUUACUGUGAAAAAAUUAGAGUGUUCAAAGCAGGCUUAUGCCGUUGAAUAUAUUAGCAUGGAAUAAUAAGAUAGGACUUUGGUACUAUUUUGUUGGUUUGCGCACCAAAGUAAUGAUUAAUAGGGACAGUUGGGGGUAUUCGUAUUCCGUUGUCAGAGGUGAAAUUCUUGGAUUUACGGAAGACGAACUACUGCGAAAGCAUUUACCAAGGAUGUUUNCAUUAA
rnacentral:rRNA from 1 species